rnacentral:rRNA from 1 species
GACGAACGCUGGCGGCGUGCUUAACACAUGCAAGUCGAACGGAAAGGCCCUGCUUUUGUGUGGUGCUCGAGUGGCGAACGGGUGAGUAACACGUGAGUAUCCAGCCCUUGACUUUGUGAUAACUUCAGGAAACUGGGGCUAAUACCGGAUAGGAGCUCCUGCUGCAUGGUGGGGGUUGGAAAGUUUCGGCGGUUGGGGAUAUACUCGCGGCUUAUCAGCUUGUUGGUCGAGUAGUUGCUUACCAAGGCUUUGACGGGUAGCCGGCAUGGGAGGGUGGACAGCCACAUGAGGACUGAGAUACGGCGCAGUCGGCAACGGGAGGCAACGGUGGGAAGUCUUACACAGUGAGCGGGAGCGUGAGACAGAGAUGUCGCGUGCGGGAAGACGGCCUUCGGGUUGUGAACCGCUGUCGCCUGAGACGAAGCGUGAGUGACGGUAAUGGGUAAAGAAGCACCGGCUAACUACGUG